GGCGAGUGAAGCGGCAAGAGCUCAACUUUGGAAUCGCUCCGGCGAGUUGUAGUCUGGAGGUGGCCACCACGAGGUGUUCUAGCAGCAGGCAAGUCCUUUGGAACAAGGCGCCAGCGAGGGUGACAGCCCCGUACCUGCUUUUGCUAGUGCUUCCUGUGGCCCACCGACGAGUCGAGUUGUUUGGGAAUGCAGCUCUAAGUGGGUGGUAAAUUCCAUCUAAGGCUAAAUAUUGGCGAGAGACCGAUAGCGAACAAGUACAGUGAUGGAAAGAUGAAAAGCACUUUGAAAAGAGAGUGAAACAGUACGUGAAAUUGUUGAAAGGGAAGGGCUUGCACCCAGACACGGUUUCGGCCGGGCCAGCAUCAAGUAGAACGGGGUUAAAAGACUUGGGGAAUGUAGCUACUUCGGUAGUGUUAUAGCCCUUGGUGAUGACCCCUGUUUUGCUUGAGGACAGCGGUCUCUAGGAUGCUGGCGCAAUGGUUGCAAGCCACCC
rnacentral:rRNA from 1 species